CCAGGGGAGCUGCGGCCUCCUGGGACGCCUGCCCCUGCGCUCCUGUGACCCCGACGGGAGAGCCGGUUCCCCAAGCCUGGGGAGGGAGGGAGAGGGUCUCAGGUUGCAGCGCCCGAGCUCUGUCCCUUCGACCCCAACGGCUGCAAGGGACGCGCCGGCAGGCUGGAAGGACGGUGCUGUGGCACGCGACAGGGCUUCCAGGUCUGCGGCUUCAUCCUUCAAGCGCACGCGGCCAGCAGGACGACAGCGGGGCAGCCCCUCCUGCCAGCCCGGGGGCUGCCACCUGGCAACCCCUCCUGCCCCCUCCCCCCUCCGGGUCCCUUCCCUGGCCUCCUCCCCGCCCUGUCCCCGGACCUGGCCCAGGUCCCAUCCCGGGCCCCGCCCUCUUCCCUGGCCGGGUCCCUGUAUCCCCAUCCCCUCCGCGGCCGGGCCCAGGCGGCCCAGGUGAGGGAACAACGGGCGGGGACCCAGACGCAGCAGCUCCCCGCCCCCCGCGCCCCGACACCCCUCCUUGGCGCAGCCGACUCUAUUAAGCCAACUCUUGAGAUGCCUGGGUGGCGGGCGGCGGGCGCUUCCGCAGGUACUGAAGUGGAUGGCCAGGUCGAGAGGCUGCCAGUGCAUCACCUGCCGUCAGGGAGAAGGGCCGCCGGGGCCAGGGAGUCAAGAAGGACUCACUUCAGCAGGAGUGUGACUGAGAUGAGAGCAGAUUCCGGAGCCCACGGUCAGAUGUCCCCAGAAGGGGACAGGCACGGAGGGGAAGUCCCCGAGGCCAGCGCAGGCUGGCGGGGCUGAGCCAGCUGCUGGCUGCACUGGCUGGAGAGUCCGCAGUUAGGAUGCCAGACCUCCCUUCUCCUGCACUGGGGGUUCUGCUUUAAGGCCCGGAUUGGUCCUCGGAUAGGCACCUGCAGGUGACACAAGCCAUGCCUCUGGAAAGCUUCUGUGGCUCCAUGUGGGGCCUCAAAGGUAGGAAAUGGCAGGUGUGCAGGACAGCCGAGUCACCCUGCGGAACGGGGAAGUGACAUUUUGUAGGUGUCUACCAGGACCCAGGAACUUACCAGCCUCACUAAAUCUUUAUCAUGCCUGUUACCAUUGUACAGAGAGAAAAUAAAACAGAGGUUCAAAGAGGCUCCA
rnacentral:lncRNA from 1 species